rnacentral:rRNA from 1 species
UACGUAGGGGGCAAGCGUUGUCCGGAUUUACUGGGCGUAAAUGGCGUGCAGGCGGUUUGUUAAGUGCAGGGUGAAAGCUCCCGGCUCAAUUGGGAGAGGUCGUUGGAUACUGGCAAACUAGAGGACGGUAGAGGCGUGUGGAAUUCCGGGUGUAGUGGUGAAAUGCGUAGAGAUCCGGAGGAACACCAGUGGCGAAGGCGACACGCUGGGCCGUACCUGACGCUAAAGCGCGAAAGCAUGGGGAGCAAACGGG